AUUGAACGCUGGCGGCAGGCCUAACACAUGCAAGUCGAGCGGAUGACGGGAGCUUGCUCCUUGAUUCAGCGGCGGACGGGUGAGUAAUGCCUAGGAAUCUGCCUGGUAGUGGGGGACAACGUUUCGAAAGGAACGCUAAUACCGCAUACGUCCUACGGGAGAAAGCAGGGGACCUUCGGGCCUUGCGCUAUCAGAUGAGCCUAGGUCGGAUUAGCUAGUUGGUGGGGUAAUGGCUCACCAAGGCGACGAUCCGUAACUGGUCUGAGAGGAUGAUCAGUCACACUGGAACUGAGACACGGUCCAGACUCCUACGGGAGGCAGCAGUGGGGAAUAUUGGACAAUGGGCGAAAGCCUGAUCCAGCCAUGCCGCGUGUGUGAAGAAGGUCUUCGGAUUGUAAAGCACUUUAAGUUGGGAGGAAGGGCAGUAAGUUAAUACCUUGCUGUUUUGACGUUACCGACAGAAUAAGCACCGGCUAACUCUGUGCCAGCAGCCGCGGUAAUACAGAGGGUGCAAGCGUUAAUCGGAAUUACUGGGUGUAAAGCGCGCGUAGGUGGUUUGUUAAGUUGGAUGUGAAAGCCCCGGGCUCAACCUGGGAACUGCAUCCAAAACUGGCAAGCUAGAGUACGGUAGAGGGUGGUGGAAUUUCCUGUGUAGCGGUGAAAUGCGUAGAUAUAGGAAGGAACACCAGUGGCGAAGGCGACCACCUGGACUGAUACUGACACUGAGGUGCGAAAGCGUGGGGAGCAAA
rnacentral:rRNA from 1 species